AUCUCUCACUCGAUUUUCUCACUUAAAUUUACAGUACAUUUUCUUUUCUUGUAAGUUAUAAUGUAAUUUAUGAAACUUACAUUGUAACUUUUGUAAGUUACAGUGUAAUUUUUGAAUCUUCGCAUGUAAGUUUUGAAAUUUGUAUUGGAUUUGGUCUUUUUCUUAAAGAUAUGGU
rnacentral:snRNA from 1 species